CUGAAUUUUCAACUCAGCCGUCCACCAGUGACUUAAAUCAUCACUUUUCUGCAUGUGUAAGCUGUACAAACUCUGCCAUCAUAUCCAAGACAUUGCAUUGUGAGGACUGGUGCCCUGGGAACACUGAGCGCAUUCUCGAAAAUUCCAAAUUUGUGCCACUUCCAUACGAAGACAGCCCAGAAUAAUUGGGCUCCAUCAACCAUCCCGGGUAAAGUCGGUCUGUCCUGAUUGCACUACUUGCUAAUUGAUGACGUCUAGAAGCCAUAGCUGCUUCCCUCAACGUGGCAGCCCUCACAAAUAAACUGAUACCAGGAAUUAACAUACAGUAGAUGGUGAUGGUGGUGGUGGCAAGGGUGCCUUCACAAGGUGCCAUGUCACAAUCUCAGUGUGGAGCCAAAGGCUGCUAUCGCAAGUCAGAUGGGGGACGAUCGAUGUAAGGCAUCAGAAAGGUGGUGUACGUACAAAGGCUGGAGCUUCUGGAGACAGUGUUGCACUUAGAUACUUGAUUUACUGCCGAAGGUACCAUCAGAGCACCACCCUACCCCUGCAGGACCAGAAGAGGACGGACAGGGGGCCAACAUUUUUUAACACUCUGACCAUGGACUAUUUAAACCAUUGAGGUAACGCAGACGUCUGAUCCCACUUGGCUAAAACAGAAGACUGAGGAGGAGUUUCUUUCCUCAUGCCAUUCGCAUCCUGAGCACACAUACUACAUUACAUGGACUUGCCAUACUGCACUUACACACUGCACUAUUUACCCCCUGACUCAUUCCGUGUCAAAUCAGACAAGGUUAUGCUGCACCGUCUCAG